GGAAUCUUCCACAAUGGACGAAAGUCUGAUGGAGCAACGCCGCGUGAGUGAUGAAGGUUUUCGGAUCGUAAAACUCUGUUGUAAGGGAAGAACAAGUACGAGAGGUAAUGCUCGUACCUUGACGGUACCUUGCGAGAAAGCCACGGCUAACUACGUGCCAGCAGCCGCGGUAAUACGUAGGUGGCAAGCGUUGUCCGGAAUUAUUGGGCGUAAAGCGCGCGCAGGCGGCCUUUUAAGUCUGAUGUGAAAGCCCCCGGCUCAACCGGGGAGGGUCAUUGGAAACUGGAAGGCUUGAGUACAGAAGAGAAGAGUGGAAUUCCAUGUGUAGCGGUGAAAUGCGUAGAGAUGUGGAGGAACACCAGUGGCGAGGGCAGGUUACUAUCAAUAUAUUGACGCUGAUGGACGAAAGCGUGGGUAGCGAACAGGAUUAGAUACCCGAG
rnacentral:rRNA from 1 species